AUCAACUUCGAUGGUAGGAUAGAGGCCUACCAUGGUGGUAACGGGUAACGGGGUGUUAGGGCACGACACCGGAGAGGGAGCCUGAGAAACGGCUACCACAUCCAAGGAUGGCAGCAGGCGCGCAAAUUACCCAAUCCCGACACGGGGAGGUAGUGACAAUAAAUAACAAUACGGGGUUCUUUAGGAUCUCGUAAUUGGAAUGAGUACAAUUUAAAUCUCUUAACGAGGAACAAUUGGAGGGCAAGUCUGGUGCCAGCGGCCGCGGUAAUUCCAGCUCCAAUAGCGUAUAUUAAAGUUGUUGCAGUUAAAAAGCUCGUAGUUGAAUUUCGGGGUUAGUAGGUUGGUCAUGCCUCUGGUAUGUACUGGUCUCACUGAUUCCUCCUUCCUGAUGAACCGUAAUGCCAUUAAUUUGGUGUUGCGGGGAAUUUGGACUGUUACUUUGAAAAAAUUAGAGUGUUUAAAGCAAGCUAACGCUUGAAUACAUUAGCAUGGAAUAAUGAAAUAGGACGUUCGGUCCUAUUUUGUUGGUUUCUAGGAUUGACGUAAUGAUUAAUAGGGAUAGUUGGGGGCAUUAGUAUUCAAUUGUCAGAGGUGAAAUUCUUGGAUUUAUUGAAGACUAACUACUGCGAAAGCAUUUGCCAAGGAUGUUUUCAUUAAUCAAGAACGAAAGUUAGGGGAUCGAAGACGAUCAGAUACCGUCGUAGUCUUAACCAUAAACUAUGCCGACUAGGGAUCGGAUGAUGUUAAUUUUUUAAUGACUCAUUCGGCGCCUUACGGGAAACCAAAGUGUUUGGGUUC
rnacentral:rRNA from 1 species